UACCUCAAAAAGAAAUUAGCUGUACCACAUAUCAAAGAAGGUUGCAUAAAAUUUUACGAUGCCAAUUGUUUUAAAAUUCAGUAAUUGGCAAGUGUAUUCAACAGUUUGCAGAUUUAUCUCAGGUAUUCUGACCCAUUUAUUAAAUCAGGCAAUUACAAAAGAGCACCACCAGUGAAAACAUGCAUUCUCAUGAAUAAAGAUAUAUCCGCCACACUCAAGUACCUUUAAUAUCAGAGCUUCCAUUUCUGAAGCUUUGUUUGUCCUUUUUGGCCUUUAUUUUCAAAAGGUAAAUGGCACAGCAGAUUCUUUAAAGACAAAGUUACAUUUCAAUAAGCUGGUCUUGGGAUUUGUUGUUCAUGUUCUGUGCUUGCAGUUAUUUAUUGCUUUAUAAAGGUUAUAGGUAGGUAAAUAUGGCUAAAGGUCGAUAAAACAGAACAUUUUAUGGAACACCCUAUUGGUUUAACAUAUUACAACUUUUAGCAUUUAAAAUUAUUUUAAAGGAUGAAUAUCUUAGAGUUAUGAGACCUGAGA
rnacentral:lncRNA from 1 species